rnacentral:rRNA from 1 species
UAAGGAAUAUUGCUCAAUGGGAGAAAUCCUGAAGCAGCAACGCCGCGUGGAGGAUGAAGGGUUUUUAACUUGUAAACUCCUGUAAAGAAGGAAAAAAUUCCCAUUAGAUGGGAAAUGAUGGUACUUCUGGAGUAAGCCCCGGCUAACUACGUGCCAGCAGCCGCGGUAAUACGUAGGGGGCAAGCGUUGUCCGGAUUUACUGGGUGUAAAGGGUGCUCAGGCGGAUUUGUAAGUCAGAGGUGAAAUCUCACAGCUUAACUGUGAAACUGCCUUUGAUACUGCAAGCCUAGAGUAUGGAAGAGAGUGAUGGAAUAUCUGGUGUAGCAGUGAAAUGCGUAGAUAUCAGAUAGAACACCAAUGGCGAAGGCAGUCACUUGGUCCAUAACUGACGCUAAAGCACGAAAGCGUGGGUAGCAAACAGGAUUAGAUACCCUGGUAGUCCACGCCCUAAACGAUGAAUACUAGAUGUUGGCUUCGCAUGAAGUCAGUAUCUGAGCUAACGCAUUAAGUAUUCCACCUGGGAAGUACGAUCGCAAGGUUGAAACUUAAAGGAAUUGACGGGGUCAUAGCUGUUUCCUG